rnacentral:rRNA from 1 species
GUCUUAUUGUAUAUUUAUAUUAAGUCAUACCUGCUCAAUGAUAAUUAAUUAUUAAAUGGCCGCAGUAUUUUGACUGUGCAAAGGUAGCAUAAUCAUUUGUCUUUUAAUUGUGGACUUGUAUGAAUGGUUUGAUGAAAUAUUGACUUUCUUUAUAUAAAAAAUGUUAACUUAAUAUUUUAGUUAAAAAGCUAAAAUUAUUUUAUAGGACGAGAAGACCCUAUAGAAUUUUAUAUUUUAUAUAUAGUAAUUAAUAUUUGGUUGAUUAUUUAUUUUAUUAUAAUAAAAUAUUUUGUUGGGGUGACAGGAAAAUAUCUAAAACUUUUUUUAUUUAUUUAUUAUUUAUUUAUAUUUUUAUGAUCCUAUUUUAAGGAUAUUAAGAUUAAAUUACCUUAGGGAUAACAGCGUAAUUUCUUUGGAGAGUUCUUAUCGAUAUUGGAGUUUGCGACCUCGAUGUUGGAUUAAAAUUAGUUUUUGGUGUAGGUGCUAAAUUACUAGGUCUGUUCGACCUUUAAUAUUUUACA